AUGAGAACUGAGCUCAGUCUUCCAGGGAGUCAGCAGCAGCAGGGGCUGACUGCUCUAUCAUUCCAGAUAUUCAGAGCAGCAGCUGUGGAGAGGGAUGUGUGCAAGCCCAAGCAUUGUGACAUUGGCUUCCUUCCUUGGUGAGCAAUGGCAAAGAUGAUAGACAAUGGCACUGUGAAACCUAAAACCUUCAUGUCCAGCCAAAUGUGCAACUCAUGUUGGGCAGCUUUCCAGCCUGGCACUGCAAGAUGUCACUUUUAUAGCUCACAGAUCCUGGAGCUUUUGCUUCGAAGAAAGGUCAGGUUUUGCCAGAUGUGGUGCUAUUAACCCAAAGAAUGAAGCUCACUGACAGAGUUUCCAGUACUACGGUCGCGAGGGGAAACACUCUUUUCCAUUCCCACCCUUCCCAGUCUUGGGAUUUCAAUAGAAAAGGUUCUGCAUUAAUCACCAAGGCCAGUCAGUACCUGUGAGCUCUGGUUGUUCUCCCAGUUUAAGACUUUGGAGUUGAAAUCACGCCAAACACUGUGGAGCUAACCUUAAGCCCUCAAAGUUCGGAUGAUUAUCCAUGCUGAAUUCAGCGCUGACUCAACAGCCCACACAAGAUGAUGGCCAACUGCAACCCAAGAAGAGGCAUCUCAGCUGUACCUCGCCAUGCCGGCACUCUACUCUUGUACUUCUCCCAUCCAGAACUGUGAAAAAUAAAUGUUUGUCAUUCAA